CGCAGCUGACAGCCCAGAGGGCACUGGCUCCAAGCUGGUUCUGACUGUUCCCUGUAUGUGUCCACGGGGAGUAGGAGCUGGGAGGCCUGGGGAUUGGAACAUCAAUUAACUACUGACCACUGGCAGCUCACCCUUCCCACCCAUAUCCAUCAUACCUCUGGGCUCCAGAGAAAAAGCAGGUCUUGGAGUGCACCAUGAUUUCACCAUUCUUAGUGCUGGCCAUUGGCACCUGCCUUACCAACUCCUUAGUGCCAGAGAAUCUGAAAUAGAACUUCUUCUAUAAACUCUUCCAAGUCACG